GACAGAGGUCUCAAGCGUUGUUCGGAUUCACUGGGCGUAAAGGGUGCGUAGGUGGCGGGGCAAGUCUGAUGUGAAAUCUCCGAGCUUAACUCGGAAACUGCAUCGGAUACUGCUUUGCUCGAGGGUUGGAGGGGGGACUGGAAUACUUGGUGUAGCAGUGAAAUGCGUAGAUAUCAAGUGGAACACCAGUGGCGAAGGCGAGUCCCUGGACAACUCCUGACACUGAGGCACGAAAGCUAGGGGAGCAAACAGG
rnacentral:rRNA from 1 species